UCCCUAAGCUUGUUAAUUCGUGCUGAAUUAGGCCAACCUGGCUCACUUAUCGGAGACGACCAAAUUUAUAAUGUACUAGUAACAGCCCACGCCUUCGUGAUAAUCUUCUUUAUAGUAAUGCCCAUCAUAAUUGGAGGGUUUGGAAACUGACUUGUCCCUUUAAUAAUCGGAGCCCCCGACAUGGCUUUCCCUCGUCUAAAUAACAUAAGCUUUUGACUGCUUCCUCCUUCUUUCCUACUACUAAUAGCAUCCUCAAUAGUUGAAGCCGGCGCAGGCACAGGCUGAACUGUGUAC